rnacentral:rRNA from 1 species
AUACGAAGGGGGCUAGCGUUGUUCGGAAUCACUGGGCGUAAAGCGCGCGUAGGUGGAUCAAUUAGUUGAGGGUGAAAUCCCGGGGCUCAACCUCGGAACUGCCUUCAAUACUGUUGAUCUUGAGGCCGAGAGAGGUGAGUGGAAUUCCUAGUGUAGAGGUGAAAUUCGUAGAUAUUAGGAAGAACACCAGUGGCGAAGGCGGCUCACUGGCUCGGUACUGACGCUGAGGUGCGAAAGCGUGGGGAGCAAACAGGAUUAGAAACCCUAGUAGUCC